rnacentral:rRNA from 1 species
AUUGAACGCUGGCGGCAGGCCUAACACAUGCAAGUCGAGCGGAUGAAGGGAGCUUGCUCCUGGAUUCAGCGGCGGACGGGUAAGUAAUGCCUAGGAAUCUGCCUGGUAGUGGGGGAUAACGUCCGGGAACGGGCGCUAAUACCGCAUACGUCCUGAGGGAGAAAGUGGGGGUUCUUCGGACCUCACGCUAUCAGAUGAGCCUAGGUCGGAUUAGCUAGUUGGUGGGGUAAAGGCCUACCAAGGCGACGAUCCGGAACUGGUCUGAGAGGAUGAUCAGUCACACUGGAACUGAAACACGGUCCAGACUCCAACGGGAGGCAGCGGUGGGGAAUAUUGGACAAUGGGCGAAAGCCUGAUCCAGCCAUGCCGCGUGGGUGAGAAAGGUCUUCGGAUUUUAAAGCACUUUAAGUUGGGAGGACGGGCAGUAAGUUAAUACCUUGCUGUUUUGACGUUACCAACAGAAUAAGCACCGGCUAACUUCGUG